rnacentral:lncRNA from 1 species
AAGAAUAUACAUACACACACUAACUCAAAUACACGUAAUACAACUGCCAGAUCUUCUAUUUUCUUUCUUCUCUCUCUUUCUCUCAAUUACUACCGUUUUCAUCACUCCCGCCGGCAACAGCAACGUUGGCCUUCUUCCGUUCGAAUGAGGCUGCAGUGAUGGCGGAUUGAUUUUGGGUGAUUUUGGCUGUUUCCAGCGAUGGAGGAGGGAAAGGGGCUGGCGACGGGAUGAGUUGCGAAUGUUUUUCCAGCGAAGGAAGAACGGUUUUGGUGAGUUCCGUCCAGAUCUAACUGGAGUUUGUAUUCACCAGUGAUGGUGGUCGAAGGAAAGGGGGAAAAGGAAGAGAGAGAUGCGGCACACGGAUUCGGCAUUUGGUCGGAUCUGGUUUUGUUGGUUCUGCCGGAGUUAUUCUAGUGAAUAUUUUGGCGAUUCCGAUAGGUUUCGCUGAAGGAGAUGAUGAUUCCGGUGAACUCCUCCUCGAAAAAAUCAGUCCAAACCAUUUUAUUCCUUCUUCUUUCUAAUUAAAUUUUUCUUUGUUUUUGUGUCUGUGCAAUGCGUAUAUGUGAUUAGUCUAAUAAAAUGGAAAAAUAAAAGUGCGUGGCUGUUAUUCAGUGAAUGUGAAUAUUUGUGUGCAUAUGGGUUGUAACAGUAUAUGAAAUUGUAACAGUGCCUAUUUCUUGCUGUUUUAAUUUAAAAACAGAUUGUAUUUAGCACACCAUAUUCUAAUUUUUAAUACAUUUAUGUACUAGCAUAUAAAUAUUCAAUAACUUUAAUCACAUAACAUGUAGUAACAAAGAUUCGCAUAAUCAAUCAAUUAUUCAUAACACAUGAAAUCACUUGAAAUUUUCAUUCAUAUUUUUCCUCCGUAAACUUACA